rnacentral:rRNA from 1 species
UACGUAGGAUGCAAGCGUUGUCCGGAAUUAUUGGGCGUAAAGAGCGAGCAGGCGGUCAUUCAAGUCAGAUGUGAAAUAUCCGGGCUUAACCCGGAGGGGUCAUUUGAAACUGGGUGACUAGAGUACAGCAGAGGAUAGCGGAAUUCCCGGUGUAGUGGUGAAAUUCGUAGAUAUCGGGAGGAACACCGGUGGCGAAGGCGGCGGCCUGGGUUGACACUGACGCUGAGGCGCGAAAGCGUGGGGAGCAAACAGG